GGCCAGAGAACUGCUCCCCAGUCGACCGGCAGGGGCCCUGCAGCGGCUGCUGCGCGGCGCAGGGGGUGGUGUACUUUAAUCAGCAUUUAAUGACCCAGUCGAAAAUUCAUUGUUUGGACCCAAGCACUGGUGGGAAAGGCAGGAGGGGAGGCCUGCCUUCCUUCCUCCCUCCCGAGCCCUACAGCAGGCCAUGGAGUGGUGAGCGAGUUCGUACAGUGCCAACCACAUUCCCAGAAACUUCCAGCAGAGGUUAAUCCUGCUCCUCUCAGGAAAAAGUGAUUCAGCUCCGGUCCACCCUGGGUGCAGCGGUCCUUCUGCCAAGAUGCCUUCAUAUCAUACAGCUAUUAUUUUCGGGAGGAUUCCAAGUGAGGGCAGUCAGGGUGGGCUUGGCCCAUUCUCUAGACUUUGGAAGGUAAUGUUCUAUAGAGGCCUGUUCUGAAGCUUUACCAGGUCAAACCGGAGAAGAACCCAACAAGUAACUCAUCCCAGCCUAACUAUUCUUCAAGGGCAAUCAACCUACAGCAUCCAAGCACAGAGAAAUCAAAUCCAUGGAGAAUCUUCAAAUUAGGCUCAGAAUCCAUUUGGGUCAAUGAAUUUACUGUUAUUAAGAUCUUAGUUGUGUUCAACCAUGAUUUGACAUACCUUAGAGUGAGAAGAUAUUCUUCCUGGCCUCAGACUAGUUGAAGGUAGAGAGAGAGACAGGCCCUUGGGUGUGGGGAGACCUCUCCUGGGAUAAUACACACAAAAAACCAAGAGCUGCUCACUGUGGUGCAGGAGACAGCAGGGCCUGAAGCCAGAGGCUCUGUGUCCUUGAAUACAAUGUUUUACUCCUCUGACCCCUGUUACUGUGAUUUGGAGAGGCAGACAAUAUAGGAUGGGCUUUGCAGGCAGGGAGGUCCAGUUAUAAUCCCAGCUCUUACUAAGUUGGGUAAGACUCACUCUGAGACUUAGUUUCUUCUGUCAUCUCUCAAUAGAAUCAUAAAGGUACUUUCCUCUUAGUGUUGUUUUAAAAUUCAGUAAAAUAAUGCAGGCUUAGCACAGGGUCUGAUGUAAAUUUUCAAUGAAUUAUCGUUGUCAAUAUUGUUCUGGAAAACAAGAGGGCAUAUUAGAAGAUCAAAAGUACUGCCAAGCAUUGAAGUGCCAAUUCUAGAUCCAGUCUCAGCCCUCUGAGAAUGGAUAUCAUUGUUUUCAAGCCAUUCAGAAACCAAUGUGAAUUGAACACCUAGUAUGAGCUCUCUGAGGGAAGAGCCAAGUCAUGCAUUUUUUAUCUUAAGGGGUCUUCAAUACCUCUAGCCCAAAACAGUAUCUCCAUCAGGAUUCUUCUCUGAUAGUGUUCAUUUCUUUUUUCUCAAUGGAUGCCUUAAAAAAAAAAUCCUACAAGGAAACCUGUACUCCUCAAAUACACCACUCAGGUGACCAUUAAAUCAUUUACAUUGUUAA
ensembl:lncRNA ZNF503-AS1 ZNF503 antisense RNA 1